rnacentral:tRNA from 1 species
AGCCCUGGGGAGGAAGGUUUUUCCCUCUUUUCUGUUUAACAAGACCAGGGUAUUGGAAAAACGCAAAUUACCCUGGUCUUGCUUUACAUGGCAGCUGGUUCACGCAAAUUACCAGGGUCUGGCUAUACGACGGCCGCGG